UUAAUACCGCAUACGAUCUACGGAUGAAAGCGGGGGACCUUCGGGCCUCGCGCUAUAGGGUUGGCCGAUGGCUGAUUAGCUAGUUGGUGGGGUAAAGGCCUACCAAGGCGACGAUCAGUAGCUGGUCUGAGAGGACGACCAGCCACACUGGGACUGAGACACGGCCCAGACUCCUACGGGAGGCAGCAGUGGGGAAUUUUGGACAAUGGGCGAAAGCCUGAUCCAGCAAUGCCGCGUGUGUGAAGAAGGCCUUCGGGUUGUAAAGCACUUUUGUCCGGAAAGAAAUCCUUGGCUCUAAUACAGUCGGGGGAUGACGGUACCGGAAGAAUAAGCACCGGCUAACUACGUGCCAGCAGCCGCGGUAAUACGUAGGGUGCGAGCGUUAAUCGGAAUUACUGGGCGUAAAGCGUGCGCAGGCGGUUUGCUAAGACCGAUGUGAAAUCCCCGGGCUCAACCUGGGAACUGCAUUGGUGACUGGCAGGCUAGAGUAUGGCAGAGGGGGGUAGAAUUCCACGUGUAGCAGUGAAAUGCGUAGAGAUGUGGAGGAAUACCGAUGGCGAAGGGCAGCCCCCCUGGGCCAAUACUGACGCUCAUGGCACGAAAAGCGUGGGGAGCAAACCAGGAAUUAGAUACCCUGGGUAGUCCCACGCC
rnacentral:rRNA from 1 species